GCACCGGUGGUGUAAGGCGUAGCAUCGCUGCUCGGAAAGCAGAAGGUGCGGGAUCGAGUCCCGCACGGCGCA
rnacentral:tRNA from 1 species